UUCCCUCCUUGGGAACUGUGGUACCAUCCAUUCAUCUCAUAUUAUGGUUGUUCUUUUUCCUGGUGCAUCAUGGUCCACACAAAGAUCUUCCUGCGUGUGUAUCCAUCUCAUAAUACAAAUUAUAGCUGUCAUUUUGUGGUUGUCGUCAGGUUGUGAAUAGAACGACAGGACCCAAUAGAUUGGGAAAUGCACCCAGGAAAGACUUCAAGAAGCACUGUAUGCGUUUGGAACCACCAUGGAGCUCUCUCAGCCACCUCUCCAGCACCAUGUCUGCCUGCAGGCCACCAUGUUUCCCACCAUGUUGACAGUGGACUAAACCUCUGAAUUGUUAACGAGCAGUUAUUGUCCUCAUCGCUUCUCACAGAGACCCAGC